rnacentral:rRNA from 1 species
UACGUAGGGUGCAAGCGUUGUCCGGAAUUAUUGGGCGUAAAGAGCUCGUAGGCGGUUUGUCGCGUCUGCUGUGAAAAUCCAGGGCUUAACCCUGGACCUGCAGUGGGUACGGGCAGACUGGAGUGCGGUAGGGGAGAUCGGAAUUCCUGGUGUAGCGGUGAAAUGCGCAGAUAUCAGGAGGAACACCGGUGGCGAAGGCGGUUCUCUGGGCCUGUACUGACGCUGAGGAACGAAAGCGUGGGGAGCGAACAGG